rnacentral:rRNA from 1 species
UACAGAGGGGGCGAGCGUGUUCGGAAUUACUGGGCGUAAAGCGCGCGUAGGCGGCUUUUCAAGUCGAUUGUGAAAUCCCCGGGCUUAACCUGGGAACUGCAGUCGAGACUGUCUAGCUAGAGUAUGGGAGAGGGAAGUGGAAUUUCAGGUGUAGCGGUGAAAUGGCGUAGAUAUCUGAAGGAACAUCAGUGGCGAAAGCGACUUCCUGGACCAAUACUGACGCUCAUGUGCGAAAGCGUGGGGAGCAAACAGG